rnacentral:rRNA from 1 species
UGUUUCGGCUAGGGGGCCAUCCCGGCUUACCAACCCGAUGCAAACUGCGAAUACCGGAGAAUGUUAUCACGGGAGACACACGGCGGGUGCUAACGUCCGUCGUGAAGAGGGAAACAACCCAGACCGCCAGCUAAGGUCCCAAAGUCAUGGUUAAGUGGGAAACGAUGUGGGAAGGCCCAGACAGCCAGGAUGUUGGCUUAGAAGCAGCCAUCAUUUAAAGAAAGCGUAAUAGCUCACUGGUCGAGUCGGCCUGCGCGGAAGAUGUAACGGGGCUAAACCAUGCACCGAAGCUGCGGCAGCGACGCUUAUGCGUUGUUGGGUAGGGGAGCGUUCUGUAAGCCUGUGAAGGUGGCCUGUGAGGGUUGCUGGAGGUAUCAGAAGUGCGAAUGCUGACAUAAGUAACGAUAAAGCGGGUGAAAAGCCCGCUCGCCGGAAGACCAAGGGUUCCUGUCCAACGUUAAUCGGGGCAGGGUGAGUCGACCCCUAAGGCGAGGCCGA